CCUACGGGAGGCAGCAGUGAGGAAUAUUGGUCAAUGGGCGCGAGCCUGAACCAGCCAAGUAGCGUGAAGGAUGACUGCCCUACGGGUUGUAAACUUCUUUUAUAAAGGAAUAAAGUGAGGCACGUGUGCCUUUUUGUAUGUACUUUAUGAAUAAGGAUCGGCUAACUCCGUGCCAGCAGCCGCGGUAAUACGGAGGAUCCGAGCGUUAUCCGGAUUUAUUGGGUUUAAAGGGUGCGUAGAUGGGUUGUUAAGUCAGUUGUGAAAGUUUGCGGCUCAACCGUAAAAUUGCAAUUGAUACUGGCUGUCUUGAGUACAGUUGAGGUAGGCGGAAUUCGUGGUGUAGCGGUGAAAUGCUUAGAUAUCACGAAGAACUCCGAUUGCGAAGGCAGCUUACUAAACUGCCACUGACAUUGAUGCUCGAAGGUGUGGGUAUCAAACAGGAUUAGAUACCCGAGUAGUC
rnacentral:rRNA from 1 species